rnacentral:rRNA from 1 species
GAUGAACGCUCCCGGCCUUCCUCCUCCCUUCCCUUCGAACUCCCUCACUAGAAGCUUUCUUCUCUUAUUUUAUCGUCGGACUGUUUGUUAACACGUUGAUCCCCUCCCUAUAAGACUGGGAGAACUUCUUGAAACCGUAGCUAAUACCAUAUAAUAUUUUGAACCGCAUGGUUCAAAAGUGAAAGACGUUCUUGCUUGCACUUAUAGAUGGAUCCGCGCUGCAUUAGCUAGUUGGUAAGGUAACGGCGGACCAAGGCUACGAUGCAUAGCCGACCUGAGAGGGUGAGAGGCCACACUGGAACUGAGACAAGGUCCAGACUAAUAAGGGAGGCAGCAGUAGGGAAUCUUCCGCAAUGGGCGAAAGCCUGACGGAGCAACGCCGCGUGAGUGAUGAAGGUCUUCGGAUCGUAAAAAGAGUGUAUUAGGGAAGAACAUAUGUGUAAGAAACUGUGCACAUCUUGAAGGUACCUAAUCAGAAAGCAAAGGAGAAAUACGGG